rnacentral:piRNA from 1 species
UCCACCAUGCGCUUGCCGUCCUCCUC